UAUUUCGAACCGCAUGGUUCGAUAGUGAAAGAUGGUUUUGCUAUCACUUAUAGAUGGACCCGCGCCGUAUUAGCUAGUUGGUAAGGUAACGGCUUACCAAGGCGACGAUACGUAGCCGACCUGAGAGGGUGAUCGGCCACACUGGAACUGAGACACGGUCCAGACUCCUACGGGAGGCAGCAGUAGGGAAUCUUCCGCAAUGGGCGAAAGCCUGACGGAGCAACGCCGCGUGAGUGAUGAAGGUCUUCGGAUCGUAAAACUCUGUUAUUAGGGAAGAACAUACGUGUAAGUAACUGUGCACGUCUUGACGGUACCUAAUCAGAAAGCCACGGCUAACUACGUGCCAGCAGCCGCGGUAAUACGUAGGUGGCAAGCGUUAUCCGGAAUUAUUGGGCGUAAAGCGCGCGUAGGCGGUUUUUUAAGUCUGAUGUGAAACCCACGGCUCAACCGUGGAGGGUCAUUGGAAACUGGAAAACUUGAGUGCAGAAGAGGAAAGUGGAAUUCCAUGUGUAGCGGUGAAAUGCGCAGAGAUAUGGAGGAACACCAGUGGCGAAGGCGACUUUCUGGUCUGUAACUGACGCUGAUGUGCGAAAGCGUGGGGAUCAAACAGGAUUAGAUACCCUGGUAGUCCACGCCGUAAACGAUGAGUGCUAAGUGUUAGGGGGUUUCCGCCCCUUAGUGCUGCAGCCUUAGACC
rnacentral:rRNA from 1 species